CAACAAAUGUUUUUUAUUUAUAGUAGUCAGCACAAUGAACUCUUCACACUCUUUGCGAACAUAGCAUACAGUUUAGGAUACACCAGUAACAUUGCUAUGCUCACAAUUAAUGAUGGCCAUACGAGGCUUCAUUACCAUACUUCUAGCAGCAGGAUAGUAUGCUAGCAGUGCUAAUUGAGAAUUUAUUUUUCAAAUGAAAUGCCAUCAUUGAAAUAUUUAAGGAAAUAUAGUUAGCAAUCUUGUCUAUACAUUAUGUUUAAUGUCCAUUCCAAUGUUAAUCGUUUCUGUUCCUUUUUACAGACUAGAUUGUCAACCAGUUUGCUAUGAUCAAAGGAUAGCAUGAAUAGCCUUACAUAGGCCUUAAGCAUGGCUGCUUGAUAAACACAAUACAUUUGAUAAAUAAAUAAAGGAAUGGAUGAUUUACAGUAGCCUACACUGUCAUGGUGCCACCUGUGAUUAAGCCAGCCUCCAGCUGCUGGCACUGCAAUCACGGAACACCCCGGACUCUCCAGUAUUACUACAGCCAAGGAAAAACUGUGCACCUGGAUUUAUGUUAGCCAGCAAAGGCACUCCUACACUGUAUGUCUGGGUGAAUGUAUGAAAACGGAUUUGGAUUUAUUCACAGUUCCUUUCACACAGACAUCUAUUGAGAAAAACACAUACUUUGAAAUCCCGACCCUAUCAGCAAUAUCAGACGCAGCCCCUCUGGAGUUCUUUAUUGUUGGGAAUGGCGAAGACUACAUUGAUCUAAACAAUACUUUGUUGUACCUACGUGUAAAAGUCACUAGUAGUUAGUGUAGGGUAUAAUGUGUCAGAAUGGUGAUUUAUGGCCCUGGGGGGGCGGGACUUCCAUAUUGAUGUGACAGGUGGGCAGGACAUCCGGUUUGUAGGGUGGGACUUCCGUUAUGACGUAUGUUAGGGUGGGACUUCCUGUAUGACGUAUGUUAGGGUGGGAAUUCCUGUAUGACGUGUGUUAGGGCAGGACCUCAGGAGUGACGUAUGCAUGUCCGGUGAUUUAUGAUUACAUUGAUGUGUCAGUGUUUGAUGUUUUACAAUGCCUGAUGAGCAAACCAGACUAGUGUUAUAACAGGUGGGUUCCCACACAGCAGUAGACGCCUACGCGGAUCCGCAUCCAAGUCGCGAAACCCGCGUGACUGUCACAUUCGUUUUGGCACCGCCCAGAGGAUCCGCUCCGCCUCCGGGCAGCGCGGUGAAUUCUACUGUCCCACACUGGACCCGUGUCGGAUCCGCUCCGCCUCCGGGCAGCGCGGUGAAUUCUACUGUCCAACACUGGAUCCGUGUCGGAUCCGCAGAAGUGGACGCACCUUUACUGUAAAGGUUGAACUACAACCUCUUGGUGUGCUCUUGCUACGCCGAGACAAGAGUCAUAUCAGUGGAGAUUUUCUUUCCUGGGACACGGUUGCGCUGAACUAUCUGAGCAAGCGAGGACAUUGCUUUUGUGCCAGUUGACUGGUAUGAUGACGUGAUGGUGUACUGGCCCAGCUGAACGUGUGAAACGGGCAGCUGCUAACGAGGAGAAGCAUGAGCCAAACUGGCCAAGAUAUGACGUAAAGGUCGUCAGAACUUGUGACAACUACAAAGACGCCAUCAGGCUAAUGAAUCAAUAUCAGACCGGCUGCAACGCCUCUGAGCUACAGUCUGAGGCAGAGCAGGAGGGAUAGCUGCCAGAGAAAUGAUUCAGGAAGCCAAUCCAUCGUUUUGGGGACUCUGAUGAGAGUGAAGAAGAGCCAGAAAAUUUGGCUGGUGUUUCAGUUGGAGCCUCAAGCCCAAACCAAUUAUACUGGCAGACUCCACCAUCUCACUGAGUGCCAUGCAGCAGUCACUACUCCUCAACCUGGAGGAAACUGUCUAGCACCUGACCAUGGGGCCGGACCGCAACACCCUUCACCACCUCAACUCCCUGCACCUGUAUUUAACAUGAGGAGAGUUACUCAAGGUAGGGACUGAUUUCUGAAAUAUUAGUGAAUUGGAAGGCCCCAAAGUGUAUUAUAAGUCAUGGUUAACAGAUGACUACCAUUUAAUUAAAAAUAAUUCCCACUCUCUCACACCACCCAACUCACUAUGGGCCAGGAACGGCAGUCCCUCCUCAACUUCCUCCACCCCCCGCACCGGCCCUCAACAUGAGGCGAACAGAGGAGCCCUCUUCAAGCCUGGCCUACAGACCAACAUGGCGAGGGGGAGGAAUGACCGAUACCAUUCCCUGCUCUGUGGCUGAGGUCCACAUCCUUAGCCUGCUGGAGACCAUUAAACAGCAACAAGACCAGCUUGUGGCAAAGGUGAACUACCUCAGCAGCAGGCUGAACAGCAACCCGGGGCCAGAUGUUGAGAUGCCGGACAAUAUCCAGUUUCCCCUGGAACAUUUGGAGGCAGUGGAGGCAUUUGAAAUGUUUUUAAAGGAACCGUCAAAUGGCCCAGCUCGACAGAGCGUGGUGCUGUGAGGAAAAACACAGUGACACGGUCAGCCACGGACGCAGAGGUCACCAAGCACGCAAUCAGGUGGUUCAACCUGGCAGCGGAUCGGGCAACGAG
ensembl:lncRNA